UGCUAAGCAGAGUAAGUUAGUUAGUAGUUCCCCAAUUAACAUCUGAAGUGGUCUGUGACGCUGUAAGACAGAGAGCCUCAGGGUUACCAAGACCUGCUUUGGGGGACAUUUGACAGACCAAGUACUUGAGAGGGGAAGAGAAUAGAGGAAAAGAAGUCUUCAUCUAGGACUGGUAGCUAUACCUGCUUUGUUUGCCAAUCAGGAUACUGUGUAAGGCCGACAUAGUUACUGAGGGUUUAUGCUUGGAGAAUUGAAGCUUAUUAGGGAGACAUUUUAUAUAACCUUUUACUGCUUGUGUGAUUCUCUCUCAAAUAAAUUGCCGUGCACUGAGCAAAUUGAAUCCGAAUUUUCAUUGGCACUGGUAACAAUCUGCCUCACUGUGGGCCAUUAAAGAUCUGUUUCAACAAGUAUUCCGGUAACUCACAACUGAUAUGUAUGCAUAUUAAGGAGUUUACCUCAGACCAGGAAGUUAAAGUCAAAUAUUUGGAACAUAAAGAUUAAUUUUAUGCAACACCAAUAAUAGAACAACUGUAUUAUAGUAUGUGGAAUCAUAUCCCUGUCAAGAAAGCAUGUGUGCAUGCAUGGUGGACAUGGGAUAAGAGGCAGGGCAUGUCUCUCUAACAUGAAACAAAAGAACUUAACAAGCAAGACAAAAGUAGUCUCUCUUCCAAGUUACAUGCCCAUUGAUCCAUCACAAAUGGGAUGUGUCCAGAGUGACACAAAACCGAGGCAAGUUAAAAAUACUGGCACAAGAAGAUUACAGAGAUACCAAAGCAUAAAGAAGCCAAAUGAUGCAUUGGCCGAAGUCUGGAGAUCCAGUAUAUAAUUGUAUAUGAAUGUAUGUAAGACGGACCAGGUUCACAGAUUUCUUCUGAUGAUGAACAGGACUUCUCUGUCCAAUAAGUCCCAGAGGAUUUGGUUGAGUAAACUCUAAGCCCCUUCAAAGCUACCAUCCCAUUAGCUCUCUAGGCUUAUUUAAUGUAGUUAUAGAUGAGGGGAGAGCUGACGUCUUUAUGCACAUGGACCUUGACAGGGAAGCACCAGGCCAUUCCUAGACUCACUUUCUUCAAAUUGAGGAGUUCUAGGUCAACCUCAGGUGCCUGUGAGCAAGAGGAGACAUUUGGAACUAUGUCUGGAAACUACGUUUCCCCACGCUGGGAAAAACAGAAAAUCUCUUGGAAAUCUACCGUCUUUAACAUGCUGGCUGCCCAAGUUCCCCAAACUCUGUGCUGUAGGGGAGAGCAAGUGAAAAAAGAAAAAAUAUGAAGCAAUAGUUCAGACAAUAAAGUAGCAAAAAGUCAGUCACUGAGGUCUUCCUGCAGCAAGGCGUAGCCACAUGGAAAGUUUUAUUUUUAAACUUCAGCCACUGUUGGAAUAUCUCUGCAGAAAGGCAUCUGUUAUUUUUUUUUUAAAGUUGGGGGAGGGAAAUCCCUCUCUCCA